UUUCCGUAGGUGAACCUGCGGAAGGAUCAUUCAUAAUAAAGUGUUUUAUGGCACUUUUUAAAAAUCCAUAUCCACCUUGUGUGCAAUGUUAGAUCUCGUCAAUCUUGGCGAGAUUUUUAUACAUCAACUCAUUUUUUAACUAAUUUGUCCGAAAAAUAUUAUGAAUACUUAAUUCAAAAUACAACUUUCAACAACGGAUCUCUUGGCUCUC
rnacentral:misc_RNA from 1 species